AGCUUUAGCAGAGUUUUUGAUUGUAAAAAAAAGGAACUUUAAAAUUAAAAUACUCUUUCAUCAAGUAGGUUCUUACAAGAGUGGUAGUUUAGAUGGUUUUGUUACAACGUGAAGAAGAACCCACAUGACCAGCUUAACAUACGACCUAAAGACAUUGGGGAACCGUCGUAUUCAGAGGGCCUAAGAACGACCAGAGUGGUGUCGAUUAAAAGGGGCCUAGAUAUAAAAGCUGCCGCAUAAAUGGUUUUGUAAUACGCAAUACAAUAUGUCAAUGAUUUGUCUGUCAGUCUAGUGGUCAGCUUAUAUAUAAGCAAAAACAUCGACAAUAUGUACUGUUUGAUGACGGAAAAGCGAUUCAAAUCAGUAUACAGUAUUUGUAACCGAAAUUUCCUACGUAAAGAAAAGAUAUUUUCAUAACCAGAAACCACCUUCGAAAAUCUUUCGCUAUUGGCUACCUAGCUAAGCUUAUAUAAAGAUCCGCCACUGCGUUUAUAUUUAUGUUAAAGUUAUUUCGUGCUAUUGUUUGCAAUCUCUAAUCUGUACGAACUCACUAAUUAUUCACAAAUCAAAUGUUAACAACCGAUUUAUUACAGUGAUAUACAAUUUUGAUGCGUGUAUUCUUGAAAUGUUAUAAAUAUUAUGGUCAA